UGCUCCUAACCCAUGAGCUCUCCUUUGCAGCACUAGCUGCCACUGCAAUUAAACAGUGACUGGCCUUCUGGCAGGUUCCCCCAGGAUGGGAGUUCAGGUUUAAACCCUCUGGUUCCCUGCUGUGUCUUCAGCACUUAGAACUCAGUGAGAGCUCAAACAGUUGUGGAGCAAAUACAAGUCUCUCUCAGCUGCCCAAUGGGCCCCCUGAAGCUCAGGGCCAGCUGCAGACCACUCCUCGCUCAGUGACCAUGCAGAGACCAAGGGGUGUAGGGGUGAUUCAGCCCUGCUCUUGGUGGGAGCUAUUGGGAGAAGGGCAACAGGCCUCAUGGAGCCUCACUCACAGGAAGUGAUUCCUUGGGAAAAAGAAGCCAAGGACAUGGAGAAUUGAUAAGCUCAGAAUGAAGGUCAGGUCUGAGAUUCUCAGAACCAGUGUGUUAGGUUCUGAGACAAAUAUCCUGAAGUUUUGUACUAAAUGAAUGCAGGAUGCAAUAUUGUAAUUUGUAAGAAAUUAUUUGGUCAUUCAGGAAAUAUACUUCCAUACACAUAUGUCAAUUUCCCAAGUGUUGAGAGUGAAAGAGGUGUGUUAUCAAUGAAGUGACUUUUGGAAAGCACCUGAGGAUGGGCUGGCUACCAAUGAAGCCAACCUAUGGCCCCCAGAUUAGAACUUUCUGUUCCUUCCCCACUUCCCACACCUAACCAUGCCCAUCUCCAACCUCCGCCGGAAAGGACAGUGGGGCUGGAGAUUGAAUCAACAGACAACAAUUUAAUCAAUAGUCCUAUGGAAUGAAGCCUCCAAAAACCAAGAGGAUGCAUUCAGAGAGCUCCGGGAUGGUGAACACGUGGAGACUUGGGGAGAGCAAUGCACCUGGAGAGAGCUGGGAGCGCUGUGCCCGUUCCCACAUAUCAUGCCCAAUCUAUAACAGGCUGGUCAGAACACUGACAUGAUCUUUGGACAAGAAGACAAUGGCAUCCUAAGCAUCUGAGAAAAGGCAGCUAAGAAGCUAUUUGGAAAGAUGUGAUGAAAGAUGCAGAGAAGAUGAUGAAAAGAAUGACUGGGCAGAGAGGUUACAAAGAAGAAACUCCUUUGCAGAUAUGCAAUUGUUUGGAGGCUUCUAAAAGCUAAAGGCACAGUCCAGGCAAGACCAUUAGUAAAAGCUCUUAAAAUCCUAUAUAAUAAAAGCC